CUCGUAGGCGGUUUGUCGCGUCGUCUGUGAAAUUCUGCAACUCAAUUGCAGGCGUGCAGGCGAUACGGGCAGACUUGAGUACUACAGGGGAGACUGGAAUUCCUGGUGUAGCGGUGAAAUGCGCAGAUAUCAGGAGGAACACCGGUGGCGAAGGCGGGUCUCUGGGUAGUAACUGACGCUGAGGAGCGAAAGCGUGGGAGCGAACA
rnacentral:rRNA from 1 species